rnacentral:rRNA from 1 species
UACGGAGGGUGCAAGCGUUAAUCGGAAUUACUGGGCGUAAAGCGCACGCAGGUGGCUGAGUCAGUCGAUUGUGAAAGCCCUGGGCUUAACCUGGGAAUUGCAGUCGAUACUACUCAGCUAGAGUAUGGGAGAGGGCAGUGGAAUUCCCGGUGUAGCGGUGAAAUGCGUAGAUAUCGGGAGGAAUACCGAUGGCGAAGGCAGGUCUCUGGGCUGACACUGACGCUCAUGCACGAAAGCGUGGGGAGCAAACAGG